rnacentral:rRNA from 1 species
GAUGAACGCUGGCGGCGUGCCUAACACAUGCAAGUCGAACGAACAGACCAGGCGCUUGUUCCUCUGUCGUUAGCGGCGGACGGGUGAGUCACGCGUGUAUCCUCUACCUAUCAUACUGGGAUAACUACGGAACACCGGCGCUUAUACCGGAUAAUCUAUUGCACCGUAUGGUUCAAUAGUGAAAGACGGUUUUUGUGUCACUUAUAGAUGCUUCCGCGCCGUAUUCGCUAGUUGGUAAGGUACCGGCUUACCAAGGCAACGAUGCGUAGCCGACGUGAGAGCGUGGUCGCCGACACGGGAUGGGAGACACGGACCAUACUCCUGCGCGAGGCAGCAGUAUAGAAUCGUACGCAAUAGUGGAGAGCCUUACAGAGCGAGGCCGAGUGAGAUAUGAAGAUCUUGGGAGCGGAAAGCGCUGUUAUGAGGUAAGAACAAAUGUGUAAUGAGAUGUGCAGGUCUUGACGGUACCGAGUCAAAAAGCCACGGCUAACUACGUG